GGUAGCUACGCUCGGACGGGAUAAGCGCUGAAAGCAUCUAAGCGCGAAACCCGCCCCAAGAUGAGAUCUCCCUUAAGGGCCGUGGGAGACUACCACGUCGAUAGGCCGCAGGUGUAAAGCCAGAAAUGGCACAGCCGAGCGGUACUAAUUGCCCGAGCGUGUUCU
rnacentral:rRNA from 1 species